rnacentral:rRNA from 1 species
GGGCCCGCACAAGCGGUGGAGUAUGUGGUUUAAUUCGAUGCAACGCGAAGAACCUUACCAGGGUUUGACAUCCUGCGAAUCUCUUGGAAACGAGAGAGUGCCUUCGGGAGCGCAGUGACAGGUGGUGCAUGGCUGUCGUCAGCUCGUGUCGUGAGAUGUUGGGUUAAGUCCCGCAACGAGCGCAACCCACGUCUUUAGUUGCCAGCAUUUAGUUGGGCACUCUAGAGAGACUGCCGGUGAUAAGCCGAGGAAGGUGAGGAUGACGUCAAGUCAGCAUGCCCCUUACAUCUGGGCUACACACGUACUACAAUGCUACGGACAAAGGGCAGCAAGUUCGCGAGGACAAGCAAAUCCCAUAAACGUGGCUCAG